AUACGGAGGGUGCAAGCGUUAAUCGGAAUUACUGGGCGUAAAGCGCGCGUAGGCGGCUGAUUAAGUCGGAUGUGAAAUCCCUGGGCUCAACCUAGGAACUGCAUCCGAUACUGGUCAGCUAGAGUUUUGGAGAGGUAAGUGGAAUUUCCGGUGUAGCGGUGAAAUGCAUAGAGAUCGGAAGGAACACCAGAGGCGAAGGCGACUUACUGGCCAAAAACUGACGCUGAGGUGCGAAAGCGUGGGUAGCGAACAGGAUUAGAUACCCUAGUAGUCC
rnacentral:rRNA from 1 species